UAAAUCCACUAGAACCUGAAACUGGAUAAACUUUCCCCCAUCCUUGGGACUUCUCAUCAGACUAUGCUAUAAAGCUUUCCAAUUUAUUUCCUAUGAGUUCAAUUAUGGAUCUUUUCAUAGAACGAAGCAGAAGGUCAAAAACCCUAACCCACAAAUUAGUAGUGUGCAUCACAAGGGAUGAAGGUUGUUCAGUGCCAAUUACUUCUUUAAGGACAAGCAAACUCUUUUCAAAAUGCAAG
rnacentral:lncRNA from 1 species